CCUACGGGUGGCUGCAGUAGGGAAUCUUCCGCAAUGGACGAAAGUCUGACGGAGCAACGCCGCGUGAGUGAAGAAGGUUUUCGGAUCGUAAAACUCUGUUGUCAGAGAAGAACAAGUUGGCGAGUAACUGCUCCAGCCUUGACGGUAUCUGACCAGAAAGCCACGGCUAACUACGUUCCAGCAGCCGCGGUAAUACGUAGGUGGCAAGCUUUGUCCGGAUUUAUUGGGGGUGGAGCCUUAAGAGGGAGGUGAAAGCCCACGGCUCAACCGUGGAAGGUCAUUGGAAACUGGGGAACUUGAGUGCAGAAGAGGAGAGUGGAAUUCCAUGUGUAGCGGUGAAAUGCGUAGAUAUAUGGAGGAACACCAGUGGCGAAGGCGACUCUCUGGUCUGUAACUGACGCUGAGGCUCGAAAGCGUGGGGAGCAAACAGGAUUAGAUACCCCUGUAGUC
rnacentral:rRNA from 1 species